CUGCCCGUACAGCUCCACCUGGAGAGUUGGUGCCCCGCUUCGCCCACCUGUAAGCGUCGCCGCGGGAUUCCCCACAAAUAAAACCAGCAUAGAAAGACCUAAAAUACAGAAAAAACACACCUAGCCUGUCACACAGCUGACCACCAGAACCUCAUGAACUAACCUCAGAACGUUCUUGUCUCCCUGGAGGGCUCUUCUUGGUCUGUUCUCUACUAACACAGUCUCCUGAGGACCUUAAAGCUUCCAGAUGGAGCAUCAGGAUUGGUACCUUCAUCAGAGACCGGUCAUACCCACUCCUAUAAUGUCUACUGCCCCCUGGUGGAGGAUUUACAGGAUGGCCAGUUUUAUUUUAUUUUACUUAUAUGAUUACUUAUUAAAACAAAACAAAAUGUUUUUAUUAUUGUAGCAGAUUUCAGACAAGAAUGUUCUGGUGGAUUUUCUUUUUUUAAUCUUAGAAAGUUGUAUAAACUGGACAUUGCCUAGAUGUAUCAUCAGCAAGGAUCAGUGAUGCAACUUCAGACACUUGGAGGCAUUUUGGAUGGACUUGAUAUGUAACUUUAAGAGACAACUCGCCGACUACAGUGGGAUGUUCUGACUCAUGGACACGACGGAAGAGUAGGUUUCAAACUGAUAAUAUGUUAUAAACAGGAAGUGUGGUGUUGUUUAAACUUCCUAUAAAAAAGAUUAAUGGCAAAAAAAAGUGUAUAAAUUAUUGAAAAUGGCCUGAUUUUAUUUUUAGCCUCACUCUGUCACAGAAACUCAACAUCAAUGUCAAACUAUCUUUAAAGCAUUGCAAAAAAGUGCUAUAAAUGAACAUCAAAACAGAAUAUUGUUAAAACAAUUUAAACAUAAAAUGCGAUCAUAAAAUAUUUCUGAAUUGAAUCGGAAAAUUCAAAAACAACUACCUCUUAAACCCUAGGCCAGGGGUGUCAAACUCAUUUUAGCCCUGGGGCCACAUUGAGGGAAAUAAAUGGGCCAUUCCCAUCUGUACCGGGUCAGCCCGGGCCGGGUAGCGUAGGUUGUUUACAUAUCUGGGUGGCCUGGUAUUUUUCCGGGCCAACCAAGGCUCAUUCUCAGCCCUCUUCUCGAGGGGGUCUGCUUCAGGCCGACCAGGGCCAACACACCCACUGCUGACAGCAAAUUCACACCUUCCAUUAGAGCAAGCCUCUGAUUGGUGGGUAGAAUCAGCCCACAUGGGCUUAAGGCAAGGAUGUGUGGAAUCAACCGGGCCAGGCUGGGGCCGACUGGGGCUACCCGGCCCGGGCCGACCCGGUACAGAUGGGAAUGGCCCACUAGUCUCAAGUGGGCCGGACCGGUAAAUAAAAAAAAAAACUUCAGAUUGUUUUCUUUGUUUUAAUACAAUCAAUAUAAAACAAGGCUGGAGCCUGAGGACAGUGUAGUACAAGUACAACACCUGAAGUGUACUUGAAAAUUUGAAAAAAAAAAUCAA